rnacentral:rRNA from 1 species
GAUGAACGCCGGCGGCGUGCCUAAUACAUGCAAGUCGAGCGAACAGACGAGGAGCUUGCUCCUCUGACGUUAGCGGCGGACGGGUGAGUAACACGUGGAUAACCUACCUAUAAGACUGGGAUAACUUCGGGAAACCGGAGCUAAUACCGGAUAAUAUAUUGAACCGCAUGGUUCAAUAGUGAAAGACGGUUUUGCUGUCACUUAUAGAUGGAUCCGCGCCGCAUUAGCUAGUUGGUAAGGUAACGGCUUACCAAGGCAACGAUGCGUAGCCGACCUGAGAGGGUGAUCGGCCACACUGGAACUGAGACACGGUCCAGACUCCUACGGGAGGCAGCAGUAGGGAAUCUUCCGCAAUGGGCGAAAGCCUGACGGAGCAACGCCGCGUGAGUGAUGAAGGCCUUCGGACCGUAAAACUCUGUUAUUAGGGAAGAACAAAUGUGUAAGUAACUAUGCACGUCUUGACGGUACCUAAUCAGAAAGCCACGGCUAACUACGUG